rnacentral:rRNA from 1 species
UGAGUGAUGAAGGGUUUCGGCUCGUAAAACUCUGUUGUUGGAGUAGAACAGGUGUGAGAGUAACUGUUCACAUCUUGGACGGUAUCCAACCAGGAAAGCCACGGCUAACUACGUGCCAGCAGCCGCGGUAAUACGUAGGUGGCAAGCGUUGUCCGGGAUUUAUUGGGCGUAAAGCGAGCGCAGGCGGUUUUUUAGGUCUGAUGUGAAAGCCUUCGGCUUAACCGGGAGGAAGGGCAUCGGGAAACCGGGGAGGACUUGGAGUGCAGGAAGGAGGACAGUGGAACUCCAUGUGUAGCGGUGAAAUGCGUAGGAUAUAUGGAAGAACACCAGUGGCGAAGGCGGCUGUCUGGUCUGUAACUGACGCUGAGGCUCGAAAGCAUGGGUAGCGAACAGGAUUAGAUACCCUGGUAGUCCAUGCCGUAAACGAUGAGUGCUAAGUGUUGGAGGGUUUCCGCCCUUCAGUGCUGCAGCUAACGCAUUAAGCACUCCGCCUGGGGAGUACGACCGCAAGGUUGAAACUCAAAGAAAUUGACGGGGGCCCGCACAAGCGGUGGAGCAUGUGGUUUAAUUCGAUGCUA